GCCGCUUCCUGCCGCCGAUGCUGCAAAGCGCUGCUUAAAUAUUUAAGGCUUCCCUUGCGAGAAAGUGCCUCGUCACCCUGGGCGCUGUUUGUGUGGGAAACGCUGCUCAGCACACUGGCUCCUGAUUAUGCUCAGCUCCUUUUGUCUCACCCUUGAAGAGAUGUUUUCCAUCAGAGCCGGGAUAACGAAGCCAUCUCCACAUUGAGCAGAGGCCCCCUUGGUGCCCGGUGAUGGAGCAGAGGCCGGAGAGGGGACGCGAGGACACCCAACCACCAGCACCCAGCCAGAGGAGCACCUGGGGGCUGCCUCUGAUCCAGCCCAAAGAGCACACGAGAAAAGACGAAGGGAGAAAAGGGAGAGGAAGGGGAGCGCCCCCCGGCUCCACAAGGAUGCUCCGGUGGAGAUGGAGCUGGAGAGGAAGAGGAGGCUCUUCCCAAGGACCACGCUGCCUCAAACACGCUCUGCUCCGCCGCGAGCUCCAUCACAGCCUCGUGCGUGAAGACGGAAACCCUGCCUGGCCCUGAAGCCUCAAAUAAUUCACCGCUUUCUCCAUCCGUCCCCCGAAACCAGCAGCGCUGCUUUGUUCGAAUUAAAGAUUUCCCCCAGGACCGCAACCUGGCUCCUGCUUUGCAGAUUUACAGCUGCUGGAAAGGGAUAAAAAAUGUGCUUUUUUUUUUUUUUUUUUUUUGAUGGCAAGUGCUCCCGGUAGGACGCCUUGACGUCUGGGUAAUUUCGUUAUCCGGGCACGAGGGGCCCCUUCCUUCUGCUCUGGCUCUUCCAGCACUUUGCAUAAUAAAUUCGCAGAAAGCAGCAGAGGACUUUUACCUUCUUUCCGAGCGUCGGAGCGCGCGAAGGAGCAGGGAGGGAAGGGGAUUCCCCACCAAACAGCCCCGCGGCGAUGCCAGGUGGGAGGAACAGAUCUUGGAAACAGCUGGACGGCCGCGAAGCUCGCCCUCUCUCCGCCGUUGCCUCCCAGAUAUCUGCAGGCAAAGCAG